CCUACGGGAGGCAGCAGUGAGGAAUAUUGGUCAAUGGGCGCGAGCCUGAACCAGCCAAGUAGCGUGAAGGAUGACUGCCCUACGGGUGGUAAACUUCUUUUAUAAAGGAAUAAAGUGAGGCACGUGUGCAUUAUUGUAUGUACUUUAUGAAUAAGGAUAGGCUAACUCCGUGCCAGCAGCCGCGGUAAUACGGAGGAUCCGAGCGUUAUCCGGAUUUAUUGGGUUUAAAGGGAGCGUAGAUGGGUUGUUAAGUCAGUGGUGAAAGUUUGGGGCUCAACCGUAAAAUUGCAAUUGAUACUGGCAGCCUGGAGUACAGUUGAGGUAGGCGGAAUUCGUGGUGUAGCGGUGAAAUGCUUAGAUAUCACGAAGAACUCCGAUGGCGAAGGCAGCUUACUAAACUGCAACUGACAUUGAUGCGCGAAAGUGUGGGUAGCAAACAGGAUUAGAUACCCGGGUAGUC
rnacentral:rRNA from 1 species